rnacentral:tRNA from 1 species
GAGAAAGUUACAAGAACUGCUAACUCUUGGUUCCAUAUGUAACAAAUAUGGCUUUCUUA